CAAUAUAUAUUUUCUAUAGAAAAUUAGAAACCCUAUGUUCCCUUCUUCUUUACUCCCAUUCUCAAAGUCGCCUCCCUUAACUUUCCAAAAAAAAAAAAAAAAAGUUCGCCUUCUCUCUUUUCAGCUUCCAUCGCCCGUUGGUCCAGAUCGGAUUCGCCGUUCACAAUUUCCAUCGCCCGUUGUUCCAGAUCGGAUUCGUCAUUCGCUAGCUUCAGCCGCUGGCAGCUAUCUCUCAACUCAAAAGGCAAUAGUGUGAAGAAGGCCACAAAGCAACUUCGUGCUUGUCUAUCUUGGAGAGAGAGUAUCGACACUGAGCAUUUGACUGCUGAUGAGUUCUCCGCCGAGCUCGCCGAAGGCCUAGCUUAUGUUGCCAGUCACGACGAAGAAUCCAGACCGGUAAUGAUUUUUCGAAUCAAGCAAGACUACCAGAAGUUCCAUUCGCAGAAACUGUGAGUCAUCUCAGAAAAAUAAUUAUUUUUUGUAACUUCGUACGACUGUAAUUCUUUAUUUUGUUAACUUUGUAUUUAUUUAUUAUUAAUGUUGGACUUGUAUGUUUUGUAUU